GCCCCGGUAUUCCAACUGGCAGAGAAGAUUGAUUCAAAACCAAUACAGUGUGGGUUCGAAUCCCACCCGGGGCA
rnacentral:tRNA from 1 species